AUUUUAAUCACCUAGGGAUCUUGUUAAAAUGCAGAUUCUGAUUCAUGGGCCUGAGAUUCUGCAUUUUUAGCAAGCUCCCAAGUGAUGCUGAU
ensembl:miRNA MIR544A microRNA 544a